CGGUCACAGCCUCAUACCAAGGGCUGGAGAGACGAUCAUGCAGGUCCCAGGAGGCUGGAACUGUGGGAGCAGCACAGGGGAAUGGGCUUGUGGGUCUGGGGUGGCGUUCUGGGUGUGGCCCGCCUCGCAGUGACCACACUGAAGUGGGCACCGUCCUGCAGGCAGAAGGUGUGCCGUGAGGGCAGAGGCUUCCUCCCAUGGACCCUUCCUGGCGGUUACCGCCCUUUUGCUCCCCUCCACUGAGGACUCCCUGUUCCUUUGCUCCCGGUGCCCUCAUGCACACCAGCUGUGGCCAGUCUUUCCUGAGGGCCAGCCCUGUGCCUAGGGUGCCCUGCCCCACC
rnacentral:lncRNA from 1 species